AUGCAAACAUGAGUAACAUGGCCCUGCUCUGGAGACUACUGGGAACACAAACACAGCCAUUUAAGACAUCUUCCUGCUUCUCCUUUCCCUUCCAUCAUGAUUGAAAGUUGUCUGAGGUCUCCCAGCCAUGUGUCCUGUACAGCCUGCGGAACUGUCACGCUGAAUUUGGACACUGGAGAAGAGAAAGGAGAAGGCCAUUCUGGCUACCCUAGGACUCAGAGAUGCCUUUGAAGAAGAAUCAGAAAAUGGAGACUGGGAUUGGAAGCAGAGAUCCGAUGGCCAAAUUACAGAGUCUUCCACUGAAACUAACUCACCUAUGGAUUCAGAGUAUUCUUUAGUCUCUUCCACCAUGUGAGGGCACAGUGAAAGGAAGGCCCUCUAUGGAGCAGAAUGUGGGCCCUUACCAACACUUGAGUCUUCCAUUGCCUUGACCUUUAACUUCCCAGCCUUCAAAACAGUGAGAAAUAAAUUUCUGUAGUUUAUAAGCCAA
rnacentral:lncRNA from 1 species